UAACCUAGGGUGCUCGGGGUUGAGUCUUUUACUAUAUUUGGUGAAGUUCAAUGUUCCGAGGACUAGAACUUGGUUUAGAAGCUCAUUUAAGAUUGUUAAUGGUAACCUUUAUCUUGGUUGUGACUAGGUGCUAAGCUAGGGCUCGGGGAUCGGAUCGCGCUCAAGGAACAUCGCUUAUAACUAGCUCGUUUGAAAGCGAAAGGUAAAGGCAAGGGUAGGCUGAAUCGACCAUGAGUUGGAGAGCUCUGGGGGCGAGGUGUACAUCGUCAGCUGCUCGGCCGCCACGGUCGAGAAAUUGUACAGGAACGGAAACCUAAAAUGUAUAUUUUGCCAUUAGAGUGGCUUGAACUAUUUGUAAUUUCUAGAAUUUAUUGUAACUAAGACAUCUAAACCCUAUUUUGAGUCUCCAAGUAUUAAACCGUCAUUUUUAAUGAGAAUAGCCUGUUUGUGACCAAAA